rnacentral:lncRNA from 1 species
GUGGUUUUGGGAUUCAUCCUCGUCCGAACCGAUAUACUUGCAAAAUGCCGUCUGUAUAGCCCUAAAUAGGUAGCACACUGACAGUACCAGUGAAGGAAAAUAUCCGCUCGUGCGUGUCAGUUGGGUGGUCUGUUGAUGGUCAUAACCCUUAUGAUCUGUAGCAGGAGAUUAGCGACCAGGAGAUUAGUGAUGUGAUGUCAACGUUCUGGAGAAUUAAGGUCAUUGACUCAUUGCGUUAUUUUCACCAUUUCCUCUUUUUGUUUCGAUAGAUUUGGGGUUAGAACAAUGGAAUUAAUGUUAAUUUAUAUGAUUUAUGGCUUUAGGUGUUUGAUGGUAUGUAGACUAAGCAUUAAUUUUGAUUUGCGGUGCAUUUUCAUUUGACCAAUUGUAUUGGAUGUUGAGAUUAUUGAAUUGGAUCACAAGUAGUUUAUAUGGAGGUUUGUUAGGGUGAAAUUUUUGAAAAAACCGGAAUCUAAUUGAGGUUAAGCUUCUGAUAUGUGACCAUAUUUUAAAAGUAAAAGGAAAAGAGAAAUAAGAGAGAAAACCCGCAUCAAGGGGGGUGGAACACCUCCAAUGAUUCACUUCGAGGAGAAUCAAACCUCCAUUUAAUAAAGCCUCAGCUUUGUUUCAUAAAAAUCUGAUUCCCAUUCCGAGAGAUUUGAUUACAUGUAUAAAGCUAAUACAAAUAAAGACCCACUACACUUAAUUGCCUACUAAUUAGGAUAUGCUCACUACUCCACCACUUCAAUUUAGGAAACCACUACUAUCACUACUCUAACAAAACUAGGACUAUUUUAACUUGUAAUUUAAAUAAAUUACAUAUUUAAAAAGUAAUAACAAUUUAGAAAUUCUAAUAAAUUUAGGCACAUAACAGCUUCAUGAUUAGGGAUUUGUUUUUGCCUACAUUGUAUUUGCGGAUAUUGUUGUCUGUCUUUGUUAAAAAUCAAUCUGUGCAAUUUGAUAAUUGAGGCUAGUGCAUUUUCUUCGUAGCUGUCAUAUGUUACUUAAGGGUCAUGUUGUGAUUGGUAUUUGUUUCUAACUGAUUAGGUCACAAAAGAUUGAUGUUCAAGGGUGCAUAUAUAUUGUGUAAAAGAUAGUCCUUUGGUGAUUAAAGAAUUGAUACUAACAAUCAAUUCAAAACGAUUUGUAUGAUUGUAGUUAGCUAUAAUCACUAGGCCCACCCAUAUAUGGUGGAUCAUCAUCUAAUUAUAUUUUGACUCAUCAUUUGGUAAAUUAUUUUUUGUGAGAUUUUUUUGUAUCUAUAGCAAUAUUUUUGUUUAAAUUGUAGCACAAUGACCCUCGGGCUUUUAGGAAAGCUCAUUCGAGAUUACUGUUGGUAGUUGUGUUAGCGAAUUGUUAUUUGGUAGGUGUGAUGAUUAUAAUCUAUGACUAGAAGAACUUAUUUAAUGUGAUGUUUACUGUAUGACAUCGUUUCACAUACAUGUUAUCAUGUGACUCACACGUGUUAAUGUAUGUGAGAGGACGUCACACAGUGAUCGUCUCACUAAAUAAUUUUCUUAUGUCCAGAUAAAUCAUAUUUUAAUAGUUGGUAGGUUUGACAUAUUUUGGUAUAUAAUCUUUGAGUAGAAGAACUUAUUUGAUGUGACAGUUAUUGUGUGACAUUGUCUCACUUAUUGCACGUGUUAAUGUAUGUGAGAAGGCGUCACACAAUGAUUAUCUCACUAAAUAAUUUUUUCUUAUGAUAUCUUAUGUAUCAUAUUUUUUGUUGUAGACUAGGAUAUAUGGGUGUUCCGCCCUUGUGGAUUGUAAGCAAAGAAGAAGUCAAUAUACUUGUUUACCUUAUUAGUAGAAAUCAAUUUAAUAAUUUAUCAGUUCCUAUAUUAUUGUCCUCAUUUCUUUGGGGUGCCAAAAGAGUAUUGUCUACUUUGACAGUUCAAACAUUAAUUGAUACUACUUUUCAAGUUUACCCUUUGUUGAUAUAAUAAGUUACCUUAGCAUCCAUCAAUAAUGAGGGUAAAACUUGAAAGUAAUAAUUUGUUUUGACAAAUUUUAAGUAAUAAAAAUAGGGAAUUGAUUAACAGGUCAAUAAAGCUGGGUACAUGCAAUUUUUAUUUGUUUGACAAUUUUGCCUUUGUCCUUCAUUAGAUAGAUUCAUGCCUAUGCCUAUCUCAAGUCGGAGAAAGUAUAAUCACUCUCUUCCUGGUACUUAGGAGUUUCUGUCUAAAUUAAGAAUUUUUUAUUAGGUAUUGAACAACGGGAAAAGGAGUUUCAAUUAAGGGAGUCUCUCCUUCCAACUACCCCAAUUUCAUUAAUAUUCCAUCUCCUUCUCUUAAUUUGUCAACUUCACAGUCGUUCAAUCAAAUUUUUUAUUUAUUUAUUUUGUUCGCUGCACUAGUUGUUUGUGAUUUUGAUUCACUGGUUUUGCUUGAUUUAGUUUAUUUAAAAGGGGCUUUCGUUCUUUGCUGAUGUGUUAUUUUGCCCCUCUUGCUCUGGCAUUCAUUGAAUGUUCUGGCAUGGCCUUUCUCCAUAAAAUCAAUUUUCUAAACAACCCAUGUGAGGAAUCUUGCAAUCUCAGCUCGAAUUUCUAAUCAUACUUUUUUUUAUUUACUUUUUAUCAACAAUCAUACCAUAUUAGAAUUCUUUCAUUUUAUUCUAAGUUCCCCUGCAAACAUCAAAUACCUAGUUGGUAGUUGAUAGAUUUCAAUUUUUUUGAGGUUUGAUUUCUUUAAUGUAUUGGGCUGAUUUUUGGUUGUGGUGUUUCAAUUGCUCACACUUCACAGUGGGUAGUCGGAACACUUCACACUGGAUAGUCGGAGAAGUAAUUUGGCGUCAAUGAAGGAGAUCAAGGAGGAAGAAAAGACAAGGGCAAAAUUGUCAAAGAAAUAAAAAUUGCCCUGUGCCCAUCUUUAUUCCUGCUAUUAUCAAUUCCCUAAAACUAUCACCAAUACCACUGCAGUCGAUUAAUUCUCCUACAAUUGUGUGUAAUGUUCAAGAGAAUGGUAUUUUAAAGGGGGAUUUAAUUAGUAGUAUAUACCUUGAAACUGAAGACUAAGAUGACUCUUUUAUUGAGUCUUAGUGCCCCUGAACUGAUUUAGCUUUCAAUUAAUGUUUCAG